rnacentral:rRNA from 1 species
CCUACGGGAGGCAGCAGUGAGGAAUAUUGGUCAAUGGGCGGGAGCCUGAACCAGCCAAGUCGCGUGAGGGAAGACGGUCCUAUGGAUUGUAAACCUCUUUAGGCGGGGAGCAAUGCCGGGCACGCGUGCCCGGAGGGAGAGUACCCGCAGAAUAAGCAUCGGCUAACGCCGUGCCAGCAGCCGCGGUAAUACGGAGGAUGCGAGCGUUAUCCGGAUUUAUUGGGUUUAAAGGGUGCGUAGGCGGAUUUUUAAGUCAGCGGUAAAAUGUCGGGGCUCAACCCGGGCCGGCCGUUGAAACUGGGGAGCUUGAGUGGGCGAGAAGUAUGCGGAAUGCGUGGUGUAGCGGUGAAAUGCAUAGAUAUCACGCAGAACUCCGAUUGCGAAGGCAGCAUACCGGCGCCCGACUGACGCUGAGGCACGAAAGCGUGGGGAUCGAACAGGAUUAGAUACCCCUGUAGUC